AGAAAAUCUGCUCUUAACAAGAACACGAUGAAGCAUUGUUAAGAGC
rfam:Enterococcus sp. HSIEG1 chromosome, whole genome shotgun sequence.